rnacentral:rRNA from 1 species
ACACAUGCAAGUCGAACGGUAACGCGGGGCAACCUGGCGACGAGUGGCGAACGGGUGAGUAAUGCAUCGGAACGUGCCCAGUAGUGGGGGAUAGCCCGGCGAAAGCCGGAUUAAUACCGCAUACGACCUACGGGUGAAAGGGGGGGAUCGCAAGACCUCUCGCUAUUGGAGCGGCCGAUGUCAGAUUAGGUUGUUGGUGAGGUAAAGGCUCACCAAGCCGACGAUCUGUAGCUGGUCUGAGAGGACGACCAGCCACACUGGGACUGAGACACGGCCCAGACUCCUACGGGAGGCAGCAGUGGGGAAUUUUGGACAAUGGGCGCAAGCCUGAUCCAGCCAUGCCGCGUGCGGGAAGAAGGCCUUCGGGUUGUAAACCGCUUUUGUCGGGGAAGAAAUCUUCUGGGCUAAUACCCCGGGAGGAUGACGGUACCCGAAGAAUAAGCACCGGCUAACUACGUGCCAGCAGCCGCGGUAAUACGUAGGGUGCAAGCGUUAAUCGGAAUUACUGGGCGUAAAGCGUGCGCAGGCGGUGAUGCAAGACAGAUGUGAAAUCCCCGGGCUUAACCUGGGAACUGCAUUUGUGACUGCAUCGCUGGAGUGCGGCAGAGGGGGAUGGAAUUCCGCGUGUAGCAGUGAAAUGCGUAGAUAUGCGGAGGAACACCGAUGGCGAAGGCAAUCCCCUGGGCCUGCACUGACGCUCAUGCACGAAAGCGUGGGGAGCAAACAGGAUUAGAUACCCUGGUAGUCCACGCCCUAAACGAUGUCAACUGGUUGUUGGACGGCUUGCUGUUCAGUAACGAAGCUAACGCGUGAAGUUGACCGCCUGGGGAGUACGGCCGCAAGG